rnacentral:ncRNA from 1 species
UACGUCCCUGCCCUUUGUACACACCGCCCGUCGCUACUACCGUAUUGAACGGUCGCAUUGAGGUCUUCGGAGUGGACGCGCGUUAUUCGGCCCCCUCGGGGGCUGGGUCGUCGCGCGAUCGCGAAGAUGACCGAAAUCGGCCGUUUAGAGGAAGUAAAAGUCGUAACAAGGUUUCCGUAGGUGAACCUGCGGAAGGAUCAUUA